CCUAGCACAGCAACAGCUGUUUCAGUAUUCUAGCCUGCUCUGAAAAAUACAGGGCUAACUGGAUGCUGCUGUUCUUGCUGUGCAUGCUGGAUAUGGUUAGGACUCCCAGGUCAGAUCUAAUCCUCUUGUUCAGCGCAUUGGGAGGCACAUCAAAGUUUUUG
rnacentral:lncRNA from 12 species